CCUUCGAUAGCUCAGUUGGUAGAGCGGAGGACUGUAGGUAUAUGGUUAAUAGUCAUCCUUAGGUCGCUGGUUCGAAUCCGGCUCGAAGGA
rnacentral:tRNA from 1 species